rnacentral:misc_RNA from 1 species
AAGUCGUAACAAGGUUUCCGUAGGUGAACCUGCGGAAGGAUCAUUACCGAGUUAGGGUACUCUUCGUGCCCGACCUCCAACCCUUUGUCUACCUGACCAGAUGUUGCUUCGGCAGGCCCGCCGCCCCGCGAGGGGUGGCCGCCGGGGGUCCUUACCGGCCCCGGGUCCGUGCCUGUCGAUGGCCCUUCUAAAACUCUUGCUUAAACGUGUCGUCUGAGUAAAACAAACAAAAUAAAAACAAAACUUUCAACAACGGAUCUCUUGGUUCUG